UAAAUGUAGUUUUGAUGGAUGGAAACCAUUAUGAAAACGACUUGAUUAUGACCGCGCUAAAUUUGAGAAUUUAAGCGAGCAAUGUUUUUGAAAUAUUUGUUACUUCACUUCAAAUUUUGAAUAUCGGAGCAAAAUUUUCUGCCUAAGUUAAAGAUAUACAGAUAUAUAGAGUUGCAGUGAAGGUGAAUGGCACCGAUAGAAAGCGAGAAGUCCCAAAUAAGGUUGGCAGGCAGAAUCAAAGGAAUUAAACUGCACAUUUUGCCCUAUUACGGUAUUAAAUACAUCCAUGUCGAUUGAUGAGCAAGAAAAUAAAUUGAACGAUUAUAUAGCAGAUUUUCUACUCAAAGAUUGCCUUUGUCAAAUCUCUCUUGUAAAAUCAAUAGCUCAGAUUUUGAAAUAUGAGCCAGCAAAACUUCUACUACAAUCUGUGUCGUUAUUUUGCUAUGAAA